UACGUAGGUGGCAAGCGUUGUCCGGAGUUACUGGGCGCAAAGGGCGUGUAGGCGGCAUUUUAAGUCAGAUGUGAAAAGCCAGGUCUUAACCCUGGCGGUGCAUUUGAGACUGGAAAGCUUGAGGACCGGAGAGGGCAGUGGAAUUCCCAGUGUAGCGGUGAAAUGCGUAGAUAUUGGGAGUAACACCAGUGGCGAAGGCGACUGCCUGGACGGCACCUGACGCUGAGGCGCGCAAGCUAGGGGAGCAAACGGG
rnacentral:rRNA from 1 species